GCUUCCCCUUCCACUGGUGCUCUUACUGAGAUGUUCAUUGCUACCUAUGAGGUCAGAGUCCAGGGUCAGUCCAUGUAUAGUCUUUAGGUAGUGGCUUAGUCCCUGGAAGCUCUGGUUGCUUGACAUUGUUGUACAUAUGGGGUCUCGAGCCCCUUCAAGCUCUUCCAGUUCUUUCUCUGAUUCCUUCAACGGGGGUUCUAUUCUCAGUUCAGUGGUUUGCUGCUGGCAUUCGCCUCUGUAUUUGCUGUAUUCUGGCUGUGUCUCUCAGGAGCGAUCUACAUCCGGCUCCUGUUGGUCUGCACUUCUUUGCUUCAUCCAUCUUGUCUAAUUGAGUGGCUGUAUAUGUAUGGGCCACAUGUGGGGCAGGCUCUGAAUGGGUGUUACUCCAGUCUCUGUUUUAAUCUUUGCCUCUUUCUUCCCUGCUAAGGGUAUUCUUGUUCCCCUUUUAAAGAAUGCGUGAAACAUUCACAUUUUGAUCAUCCGUCUUGAGUUUCAUUUGUUCUAGGCAUCUAGGGUAAUUCAAGCAUUUGGGCUAAUAGCCACUUAUCAAUGAAAUUCCAAUAUUCUUAAAGAAAGUUGCUUAAUUUAAUAUCACGAAUGUAUGUGUAAAGGGUCAACAUCUGGUGUUGAGCAUUGUCUUAUUUUGCCUCCCCAAAAAACCAUAACUAAAAAAGGAUCAUCAAAAUGUUACAUUUUUAUGUUUUAAGCAUUUUAGCACUUCACCACAGUUUUAAUGGCUGUAUUUAAGCUGUAUUUAAUGGCUUGAAGAUAAAAAUGUGCAUCAGAGAAUGGCCACUAAAAGUAUACAGAGCACUCAGGAAUGCUUAAAUAAAUAGAAUACAAACCCAGACGUCUAAGAGCAUUUUGAGAGAGUCUGUACUGUUAUGUUCUAUCUUCCUUUCACAUUUCCUAUAUCUUUAAUAGGGUACAGAGUGGGGAACUAUGAAUUAUAUUUCCUAGGUGACUUUCAAAUCAAGAGUGUGCAUGUGACUAAGUCCUAGCCAGCAACAUAUGAACCGAGGCCACAGUCAAAAUGACUGCCAUUUCCUUCUUUAUGUUUACCCUCCCUAGUACUGAGGAUCAAAUUCCAAUAUUCUUAGAGAAAGUUGCUUAAUUUAAUAUCAAGAAUGUAUGUGUAAAGGGUCAACAUCUGGUGUUGAGCAUUGUCUUAUUUUGGCUCCCCAAAAAAUCACACUUCCAGGCCUGAGGCUCCUGGAGUCCUUUAAUUGAAAAUAAAGAAUUGCCAUAUAAGCAAUGGCUGGGUAGAAAGACAGAAAGACAGGGCAAGGGAUUGAGAGAGGGGAGAAUGAAGAGAAUCACCAUGAUCCAUAUUUAGAAGGAUCAGAUUUAAGAGCUGCAAGAGAGAAAGCAGCCUACAAUAUAGGUGGAAGGGAAUAGGACCCUAUAGGGAAAGUGGAGACUUUCCCAGAAGGUAACAGAGCAACAAAGAUAAAACACAGAUUUAAACAAAGAUCCCUCGUUGGAUACCAGAGGGAAAUGUAUGCCAGAUGUCAGGAGGAUUAGAAAUGUCCAGCCAUUGGGCUUACUCGAGGUGUAUCAAAAUUAACUGGUGUGCAUGUAUGUGUGUAAGUGUGUGUGUGUGUGCGUGUGCGUGUGCGUGUGCAUGUGCGUGUGCAUGUGCAUGCGCACAUCUGGGCACGUGUGUGUUUCAUUCAGAGAACUCUUGAGCAGUGCCAUUACUAACUAUGGAGCCAAAGCAGAAAAAUGGAUUCAAUGCUACAGUCUAGUACAUUGAGGUCUCAAGUGAGGUUUGCAUUAACCUAGAUAUGGGGGGUUCACAGCCCAGUCAGCCAAUGCACAGUUUAUUCAGUUUCAACUUCUUUUAAAGGCAAAGCAGGAUAAAGGUUUCCUACAAUAUAUAGUUCUCACCAGCUGCUGCUUCCCUACCAAUAGAAUAUCUUGGAUCGAAGUGAUGUAAACCUCUUUGCAAACUGAGAAACUUGUCAGCAGUCCAACUCUUCGAUCUGUUAGAUGUGCUGUUGUCUAAUUAACCUAUAAACAAAGUUACUUUUUCACGAGAGAAUGAUCAUGAAGGCCACGUCCUCAGGUUUGCAGCUUACUUGGCAGUAGGAGUUACCAGAAUCCUCUGCUUAAGGAACUGUGCCUCCUCGGUAUCUCAGUGUGCUGGGAGUGACCAAACCAUCCUAGCAUGCCCUGCAGCUGACAAGCUAGGAGCAGUUGCUUCCUGUCAUUUCUCUACAGUAGACUAAAAUAGUGUCAAAUGAAAUCUGUAGAGAACGGCUAAGCAGACAGAGUGACCCGUGGUCCUUAAUAGCCAGAGAAAUGCUGCCCUCUGUGGAUUAGCUGCCUACUUUCGGGCCAGCACAGGCAAUAGGAAAGUCUCAGUAUUUGCAUCAGAUCCAGUCUUUUCCAAUCUCUUGGCCUGUGCCCUAGUGAACUUAAGAACACUUAAUGAUUUUAGUAUUAGUAGUUUAUUCCACAUUUCAGCUACAUAAUUGAGAUUGUGCCAAAAGGGAAAAAAAUGAAACAAAGUACAUACUUAGUAGUCUUAGAUGUAAGAAUCAUAGAGUUUAGAGAAUUAUAUAACCCUUGUCCUAUAAUUAAACCUGCAAGAAGACCCUCUUGGAAGGGUGGGAGAGCAAAUGGACAGGAAACCGGGAAGCGGAAUAAAAUGGAAAUGUAAAUAAAAAAAUACCUAAUAAAAAAUUAAAAAAAAAAAAAAAACAAAGAGGUUCCUCUUAAACCUUGAGUGUGAUCAAACAAGACUAAGCCAGAAAGGAACAUUCUGUUCAGUUUUAUGCUAGACUCAAGAACAAUCAUAUACAAUACACGCAUCUAUCACAGACAUUUUUUUGUCCUCUCCUGCACACAUAGAAAGCCAUGGGGCCAGAAACUCAGAUAAUAAACUUGAGUCCAAACACAAGAAGCAAAUUAAAAUAACAACAACAAUAAAGAAACCUGGUUUGGUGGCACACACUUGUGCUGGGGAGACAGAGACUCCAUAUCCUCCCUAGCCAGAUGGCCAAGUCGACCUGUCCUAUUGAUGGCACCUGAAGAGUAACACCCAAGGUUUUCCGCUGGCCUCCACACAUGCGAGCUCACAUAUGCAGAGCCACCAGGCCAAAGGAGCCUGUAAAAGGUUUUUCAUGAGGCAAUAAGAUAACUCAAUGUGUAAAGGUUCUUGUGUGGCCAAGCCUGAUGUAACCUGGGACCUACACUGAAACCUGACUCCCACCAGAUGCCCCUGACCUCCUUGUUUUGUGGUUUGGUCUGUUGCUGUGCAUUGUAAUGCUAACUGCAGACCCCCAAGGCCUGAUUGUCCCAGAGACAAGAGUCCACAAGUAGACCCAAGUGAUGAGAUGUGAUCUUUUCCCCAAAUUAUUUCUGAUAAGUGAAUAAAGAUGCCAACAGUCAACAGCUGGGCAGAAGACAAAGAGACAGAGUUUAGCAUUCCAGGACUUCUCGCAUCAGAGAAGAACCAUGAGGGGAAAAGAAUGUGAAGGGAGGAGGAAGCCUCCAUGGGUCAGGUAGGUUGGCUAAUUGGAGUUAAGAGAAGCCCAGACAUAGGAAAUUUAAUUUUAUAGUGGGAUUAUUGGCUGUGAAACAGACAUACCAUCAAGAGGAUCCAUAUCUGCCCAGCUCCUUUGCUGAUUAAUGUAAAUAUAAAGCUUGUGGGUGUCUUUUAUCUAGGAACUAAGUAGUCAGAGGAAGGGGAGAAACCCUGUGUGAGGAUUAAACAAUUUCUACAAUAUUCACACAUACAACUCCUGUCAUACAUACACACACAAAAAUAAAAAUUGUCACUUUUAAAAGGGGGUAAAGGAACUUGUCAUCACCCAUGAGGAUCCAAGUUCUAUAACUACAAUUCAUGUGGUAGGAGGAUGACAUCCCCACUCAUUUGUCCUCUGGUCUUCAUACACACACACUAACAUGUAUAGACAUAUGAACACAGAAUAUGUUAAUGAGUUAAUUAAUUAAUUAAUUAAUUAAUUAAAAGUUUUUCUAAUUAUCUGUUCUUGGCCCCAGCUCACUCUGUCUUUGCUUUACACAGCUCAACUCCCCACAUCUGCCUCCCCUUCUCUCAUGCCUGUCAUGCUUUCAUGUGUGUUUCUCCUCCCUUAGUGUCCAUGUUUAAAUCUAUAUUCGCCACCUUAUAAACUAUAGCUCUGGUGAUUAGACAGAUACUUCCCAGGUUAAAAGAACUUGCUGUGCGGUCAGGAGGCCUGCAGUCCGAAUCCCAGAAUCCUGCAAACACCAGUCACUACAGCUGCCAGGAAUCAGACAACAUCUUCUUAGGCAAAAAUAAUGAAAUACUGCCAGUAAUUUGGAUGAACAUACACUUAUGAAUAUAUGGCAAAAUGCAAAACUUUGUCCUUUUAAGAAAUAGCUCACAAAAGAGUGAGGACUGGGGUCAUGAGUCAAAGGGAAGUAAACAUAAAGUUUCUUUUAUACCAUGUGAACCAAACAAGUACUCUUAUCUCUACAAAUCUGUUCCUUUCUCAUAAGCCAAAUUUAAACAAUGCUUUGGAAAACUAUCCACCUGGACCUGGAUCAUCCUGCUCUGUUGUCUCCAUCUUGAUUUUCCUCACCUCUCUUUCUCCUCCCUCCUUCCUAGACAUUUCCCCACCUGCCCUUCCUUCUCAUCCAAUGAUAGGGUAUGCCUUAUCCUGGACUCGCCUUGCUCCAUAAAUGGCAUCACCUUACACAGAGCAGUGCCACAGAUUUCAGCAGAAUACAGGAGAGGGAUGGACUGGGUAAAUAGGACGCUCAAUGUUCAACACAAUGGUGUGAAGGGUCAACAUCUAGUCGAAAUUCUGUUCUCAGACAGAACAAGGCCUACAUUAAACUCCUGGGCUUGGCUAUUUCUGUAGAUUUCUAAUUUCUCAAAGCCUAGCUGAGGAGCCACCCAUUUAGUUGAAAGCUCACCUUGUUCAAUCAUUAAUGUUUAGAAGGGUUUUUUUACCCUUUUACAUCAAUAUGGGAAAGUUCGCCAACAGUAAUAAUAGUCUUCAAUAUAAUAUCUGUUUGUCAAGACCAUUGUCCUCAUGAAGAACUAUUAUAAAAAUUGAGAACCAGCAUGAAGGCUCAGCAAAAGGCUUUUGCCACAAAGCUUGAUGACUUGAAUUCAAUACCUGUAUCACAUAUGGUAGAAGGACCUACCACCCACAAGUUGGCCUCUGACCUCUGCACCCAUACAUGUAUAUACAUACAUACACACAAAAAUGCGAUGAAAAUUAAAAAUGGAAAACCUAACAAAAUUAAUUAUAAUUCAGCCAAGGUACCUUUAGUGCAAUCCAAGUUGCUUUAUCUUCUGCUGACUUAAAAAUACAGAGGGAGAAUGGAAAGAAAUGGCCUAUUGUUUUGACUGUGCCUAAAACCUCAAGCAUGCCCAAGAGAAGGCAAGUCUGUAGGAUGGGCAAGGUCCUAGAGGGAUAGUACCAAAAUAUCACCACACAGUAGAGAACACAUGUAGUCAGAAACUACUUAAACAGAAUGUGUAAGUCCUCAAUACACAGGACACAGUUGAUGGUGCUUAGGGUGCAAUUCUUAGGGGCCCUGCAGCGUGUAAAAUACAUGACACUUGUGUUAUAUAACUGUCUGGGAUUCAGUGAAUCUAUAUGCUUCAGUUCUAGCUUUGGAUAACCUCGGCGGACCUUUGUGGAGUUUUUUAUCAAUAGAGUAGCUCUUUACCUCCUCAUAACCUUAUUAUGCUUUAGGCUUUUAUUGUUUUAUUUUUCCCUCCCACUAUUUAAAGUUGACCAGAAGAAAGGGGUUGUGUUGAGGCUAAGUUGGUUGGUCUGGUUUUCUUCUUGGAGGUAGGCUUCUGAACAUCGAAAUAUCUGAAUGGACCACCUCACCUCUAGAUCCCAAUGAGGGCUUUUCAAUAGAACCCAACUGAAAUUGUCUGAUUGUUUCUUCUCAAAGAUCAGGAAAAAACAACAGUGCCAUUUCAGACCUCUUAUAGAGGGAGGGGCAUGUGGCUGCCUCAGUAUUCUGUUGCUCGUGAUUUUUGUAAAAACCGAAUUUUUAAAGUCUGUUAAUGUUUCACAAAGAGGAAAGCACAGUUUGAGGUAUCCUAUAAUUUUACAGCUUUACAUUGUGUGUUUCUUUCUUUUAGGAGAAACCCUACCCAGUACAAGCCAUCACAUGCACAGAAUGUCCAAUGAGUGGGUUGGUUCUCCACAGUCCUUGGUGUAGUAUUUAGUUUAGUCAUUUACAUUCUUUUGUAUAUGAACCCCAAUAGGCUUAUAUGUUUGAAUACUCAGUCAUCAGGGAGUUGAAUUAUUUGAGAAGGAUUAGGAGGUGUGGCCUUUGGGAAUAGGUAUGGCCUUAUUGGAGGAGGCAUGUUAUUGGAGGAGUGGGUUUCGAGGUUUAAAAGUUCAGUGUAUCAUUCUGGGAUAUAUUAGGAUGUACAGCUCUCAGUUACUGCCCCAGCACCUUCUUACUUGCUUCUGGCCAAUAUAACGUGUACUGAUUUUCUAAAACUGUAAGCAAGCCCCCAAUUAAAUGUUUUCUUUUACAAGAGUUGCUUUAGUCAUGGUAUCUCCUCAUAGCAAUAGAAUCUUGACAAACACAGAGUUUAUUUGACUUACAAUUUCAGGUAACAGUCCAUUAUUUCAGGAAAAUCAUAGGAAUUGCAGGAAUUUGAGGCAGAUGGCUAACGAAUAUUCACAGUCAAGAGUAAAGAGAGCAUAUCUGCACGGAUAGUUACUUACAAACUUUUUUCACUUCUAUAUAUAGUUCAGGGCCCAACCUAGGGAUUGCUGCUGCCCAUAGUGAGCUAGGACUUCUUACUAAGUAUUCAAACAUAUGAACCUUUGGCAGCCACUCUCAUUCAAGCCACCAUAAUCCCUUGUUCCCUAAGUUGAUUCUUGCCAGGAUAUGUAAUGACAGUAAGACAAAUAAGACUAGAACAAAAAUUGGUACCAAGAGUAACAUAGUCGUUGGGUGCUGAGAUUAAAAAAAAAUUAAAGAUAUCUACCACCACCACCACCACAACCACCAAAACGUGCGUAUAGUCCAACAUGAUUGAAACAAUUCCUAAGUAAGACUCUCUUCCCAGGUGAUUCUAGAUUGUGUAAAAAUGACAGCUAAAAGUAGCCAACAAAAUGACCAAAACAAAGAAGAAAAGCAGCCUUAGAAUAUAGCCCCCUUUUCCAUCACUGAGAAAGUGAGAACUCACUACUGCCCAGGAAAAUCUGGACAAUAGUACUUCAGUAGGAAGAGACAUGCAGUGUGUGACAAGACAUUCUACUACCAGUAAACGAUACCAUCUCAGUGGAACCCACUCUUCAUUUAGUAUUUUAUGUUGUGGUAUAAUGUGUGAUGCUCAUUCUCGGAAGAAUUCUGAGAACUUUGCAGUAAUUCUGGAUGGCUUACAAUCCCUGCUCCUGCUGCUGGAUUAAUGAAGCAUAGCUAUAUUUAUGGGUGAGGUUGCUUUUCGGGCCAUUCAGAUUUUCAUUUAGCUACUGUUAUCUGUUGGAGCACGAGUAAGCCACUUAAAAUUUCAAAAUCUCAAUUUUCUUAUCUCAUACGAUGUGAUGAAGAUUGCAAAUCCAUUGCAAUGUCUAUUGUGUAAUAAAUUUUCAAUAAAUUAUGAGAACAUCAUCAACAAAUCUAGACUGUAAGCUUUUAAAGGGCAUGGUGUCAUAUUUUUUCAGUCUAAAGAAUUCAGAUAUUUAAAGUCCUCUAAUUUUAUGAGGUAUGUCUAGUUGAGCACAUAUAAUUCUAGCUUCAUGAAAAUCUGGAACACAAGAACUGACUGGCAGAAUUAGAGAUUCAGCUGUUGCUCAUGUUUUGAGGGAGGUCAGAGGUCAGAUAGCGUGGGCUUGAAGUUUGGUUUUCACUCUUGCUGAGGGGGUUCUUGGUUAAGGCAGGUAAUCCCUCUAUACUCCAUUUCUGUAUCUGAAAAUGAGGCAUGAUUACUGGAUAAACAAAACAGUGGAAAGAGUGCCCAGGCCGAGCCCUGUACGUUAUAGAUGGCUCAGUUAAGGCUUGCUAUUGCUAUCAUUGACUUCAGGAACAUCGUUCUGGCUCAAGUACCAAGUUCUAGAGGAAGUGCUGGUGGCCAGCAGGUCACAUGUAAUAAUAACAGGUGAUUUGAUUUGGGGAAAAGCACAGCAUAUCUAGGCAAACAGCACAAAGAAAGCCAAAGACAACUGGAAACAUGGUUGCUUUCACUACCCAGUGGAGACAGCUCACACUGAUGUUAUAUUUGGGCAGCCAUGAGCUCUUUCUGCAUCAUCAGAAGUACACCAGCAUUUAUUUACAGAACUCUGUGUUAGGGCAGCUGGGAAAGUCUUAAAGGAAAUGAAAAGUAGAACCUAAGGGAAACAGAGUCUGGGGAGGGGAAGACUUCUGUGUGGAGGACAUAGAGACUGAUACAAUAUACUUAAGUAUAAUUUGUGUGUGGGUUUGCUUCUUGUUUUUCUUUGUUUUUAACUCGAGUCUCAUGUAUUCCUAGUAACAAUCAAGAAUGUAGCAAGAAUGCAAAGGAUCAGGGAGUGGAUUAUACAGGAGAAAGUGUGGGAGUUAGGAAAGCCAUUCUAGAAGUAUUUUUUCCUAUUCAUGUCAGCAAGGGUUUACUGAACAUUCCUGUGUAGCAAGUCUGUGCUGUUAAAAAUAAGAUAAAGAGAUACUAUGCAUCUCUGACCACGUUCCAAUGACUAUGCAAAGCCAGCCAGGAAUACAUUUGUAAAGCUAUCUCUUGUCCUGUGAUGAGAGAAACAAGCAUUCUUAAGUGACUACAUAAGGUAGUAAGAGAGCACAGAGACAGAGACAGACAGAGUGGGUCAAAGAUAUACCAUGACAUGAAACUACAGUUUACACCCUGGGGCCUUUGAGAAUGACAGACCUAACUAGAGUACUGGAGAGUUUAGAUGAAAGGCUGAGAAACAUAUGCCCAAGUAUUAGGCAUGCAGAAAGAGCAGGUUCUUUGGAACAUCUGCAGGUGGGAAUGACAAGGAGCAGCAUCCACUGAGGUAUACCAGGAUCCAGCUGUUUUUGCAGAUGGGGUACUGGAGAGAAACAGUUCAGUAUUCUGAUGAUGUAAGGCUGGAAAGUACAGGAUAUAUCAGAGGAGAUACAGAACAGCAUUAGCUUUCCAGGAAGGUGGGGAAGCUCCACCAAAGCAUGUCAGACAGAGAUAUACCAUACCAAAAUUUGUUUAAAUUUUAUGGACAGUGCAGAGUUAAGUGUAGAGUAUAUUAAUAAGGCAUAGGAAUGCCUACACGUAAGAAAAUCUUAUGACAGCAGCGGUGUGUUUUCUCUCACAGUGAAGGGGUGGUGACAGGAGGGCAGUGACUGAUUCAGGUACUCUGCUCUCUGCAGUUUGGCUUUGUCAUGCUUUGCUCUCCUAGAGGCCAUUCUGCCAUAAGAAGAUGAUUGGUUGAGCACAGGACCUUGCAAUUGUGUUUAAUGAUACAAGAGUGGGAUAUAAGCCAACAGUUCCUUUAUCAUCCAUCAUAAAGGCCCUUCCAGAGACCAACAGCCUUAGUAGAUUUCUGCAAGUCAGGUACAUACCAUCUCCAAUGGCCACCUUUGGCUGUAAGAAAAGCUAAGCAAGCAGUAAUUCUCCUUGUAUAAAAGGUUUUGGCAUGGGAAACUGGGAAUAAACAACGAAUAAGUUAAGCUACCAUUUCUUCUACCAUAGGGAGCAGGUGAGAUACAAUGAGGACCUGCAGCAGGCUAAUGGUAACAAUACAUGCCUUUAGAAGAAACAUGGAAUUUAGAAAUUCUUCUAGUUCUUGAUGUGGAGUCUCAGGGGAAACUCAGAAAAAGGCUGGAUAUAGGUUUAAAAGCCAAAGGCUCAGGGCUGGGUCUGAGACUCUAGCUGUGAUGAGGGGCCAUUAGAAGAGUCCGGACACUCCAGGAUGGCAUGGAGCAGAAAGAGAAUCAGGUCUCAGAAAUGACAUGCUUUUAGAGCAGAGGCAUAAAACAAAGACCUUAAGGAAGAAUAUAAGGAGAUGACCAGAGAGGAGAGCCGGGCAGAGAAUUUCUAGAAAGAGACUCCAGAAGGGCAAGAAAUACCAAAGAGGUCUAAAGGUAAAAGGCUGGAAAUUGCAUAGAGAAUUUUGUCAUAUGAUUUCAUAGCUGGUCUCGAUCUGAGCCAUCUAUUGGUGGAAAUGGAACAGUCCAUUUCCCUGUAUUGUAAAGGAAGGCAGCUGGCUAGUUCAAAUUCCUUCUCAGCAGAGACUCUAAAAAUGCAGAGGAAGGAAAUCAAUGCAGUAGGAAGUAGAGAAAAGCAUUAAUGGCUUGACUGGGGUAUAGUUAGGGAUUAGGAGAAAGGCCAAUAGAAAGGGAAUGGUAGAAGACACAGGAGACACUUGUAGGAAUGAGUAAAGGCAUUCAGGCAUCACCCUUUAUCCAUGGGUUUGUAUUUUAUUGCCUUAGUUAUUCAUGGCCAACUACCUGCAGCCCCCAAACUUCCAGAAAUAAAUAAUGCAUAGGUCUUUUUCAGUAAGUCUUAUUAAAGCAUCUUGUUCCAUUCUGUUUUUGUUAAUGCCUCUAUGGCUUACUUUUAUUAUGAUUUUUAACUACGUGUAGGUAUGUGUGUCUGCAUGUCUCUGGUUUCCACAUUCCCUAGAGUAUGAGACAGUCCUGAGUUGCAUGAAGUAGGUGCUCAGUACCAAACUCAGGGGCUCCAUGAGAGCAGCAAAUUCUUUUAACUGCUGAGCAGUCUCCAGUCCCUUCAGCUGCACCCAAUUAACAACUCAGUGCUGUCCUAGGGGUGCAUAGAAAAAGCCCUAACACACAGUUUCAGAAAUCCAGGGGAUGUGUUCUGCAAUGGAAGAGGUAGCAACUGUAAUCAUGACUGCCAGACCAAUUUUAGUUGUCUGUCAGAAUGGGGGCCACCAUUCCUAGCUUUGCUGCACACAGAAUCUGAACAGUAUGAAGUUUUUGAGUCCAAAGAAAAGAAGAGGAAGGCUGUUGGGAAAGAAUCUGAAUGCCCCCCAUACCAUCUCUGUACUUAAAAUUGUAGGAAACCUACAUGCUCAGUAACACAGACGACAAGACUGCAAGACUCACAGUCGUUAUACACUGUACAUCUUACAUCAAAUACUAUCUUGCGCGUGUUAUUUCUUAGGCACAACAUAAUUCCACAUGAGCCUCAGUCUGAGAAGACGUGCUAAUUUGCCCUAUUCUAUUUUUUCACAGGCCAUCACACCAACCUUGGAAUAUAGUUGGAUAGCAAAGUUAUGCAAAGAGUCCCUGAGUACUACAAGAGCUGGUCUACACACAGAGUGUGGUCCUCUGACUUUUCAUGGGGCAUGCUUGUCUGACAGUCUAUGGAGCAUAUACUUCUGGCCUGUCCUUGGAGCGUGCUCGUCUGACUCACCAUGGAGCAUGCUCAUCUGACUCACCAUUGAGCAUGCUCCCCCACCUAUGCAUAGAAUGUGCUCUUGAGAACUUGCAUCUAUCUGCACACAGAGAAACAGAUGUGCUUUCAUUUUCCUAAGCAAAAUAACAGGAAGUAUCAUCAUUCUUGAGGUCACAGUAUUCAUAACAGGAAUGUGUGGAUAGUCACGUGAGAUCUAUUGGGAAGCAUGGUGUCUGGUUCAGUCCCUAUCUUGAGGGAGAUAAAAUAAUCUCAGUUCUCAAAUGGUGUCAGUCACCGUAAGGACCCAAUCCAAGAGGACUAAACACUUCUGUAGUCCCUUAUCAUCUGAGCUUGAAAGGGGCCUCUGCCUCUUCAGCCAGCUGGGCAGCUCACAGAAAUUCUAUCCUUGCAAACGGAGAUAUAGGUACCAGAGAAGCAGCUCUUCCCUCUGAUUAGUGGAACAGCUAUGACAGAAAUUGCCUUUUCCCAAAGACACAAAGUGACAUAUUAAAGGAGAAGCCUCUCUUUUGGUGCCAUGGAGUCAUUUAAAAAUAAAUGUAGAAACUCCAAAGAAUGUCUGUUUAAGCACAGCUGUAAUUCAGGGACACAAGACCAUUCACUUCAGCCAUCUCUCUGCCGGAUUCACUUCUUGAUCCUCAGAUUAUGUAGGAAUCAAAUCCAGUACUAUCUUUACUUUCAAAGUCAGUUUGCCUGUUUUGCUGGUGACUACAUGGUAUGUUAGAGCCUUGUACUUAUGCUUCAGUUUCCAAACCUAAUCGUGAUCAUGGGCCAGUAAUGUCGAGGACCAGGUCAUGAAAGCCCUCAUAGCUUACCCACCUGGGUAAGCUUGCAGGAAUAUUGCCAAAUGAAUGAGAGACUGAUGAAAACUGGAGUACAGUAGUGGGUGUGUUGCUAAGCAGCCUGGUAAAGAGGAUUACAAAUUAGGUCCGAUUAGUAGAAAAGGUGGGGUAAACAGUGAGAAAGACCGCUGUUCUGGGCUAGCAAAACUGGGUCCUAGUCCCAGGACGGCUUGCUUGGCUUUACUCACUCAACAAAUACUCCUCGAAUUUCUAGGCAUUUGACAGGCUCAGAAUAAGACAACAUUUCUUCUCCCAAAACAUACUGAAGGUGUCUAAUUGGAUCACAAGAGAGAUAUGGGAAGACAUUCCACCUUGGUAAGUAAACGUGGGGUAUGUGCUGAGCAAGAGGCUUCUAAAUCAAGUUGUUGUCCAGGAAAGCAUUCUGAAGACUAUUGCUUCAUGCCUUGAGGGAUACAAAGGGUCAUUUGUAGACUGGUGGAAAAAUUUGCCCACCACAGGGAACGGGACUAGUGUUGUUCUACAUCAUGAAAUGUAGGAGGUGGCAUUUGACAGCUGGUAGCAUAGCCAGAGGUGAAUAUAACCUAAGUUACGUUGGAAAGUAAAAAUGCCAUUGAGUCAGUACAAUUUGCAGUUGAAGGUAGAAGUCUAGAGUCAAGACAAAACUGGGUUUAAAGAUAAACUUUGACAUACACCAGUCACGUGACAGUAAUCACUUAAAAAACAAACAAACAAACAAACAAACCAAAAAAAAAAAAAAAAAAACCAAACACUCUUCAAGUUUAGUUUCCUUAGCACAGUGUUCUCCUGAUUUGGUUAUCUAUUUAUGUCCAGCAACUCCUCUCAAAUGAAAUGCCUUAAGACAACACAUAUUUAGUAAUUCUCAGGGUCAUUAUGAAUUAAGAAUGUGUUAUGGCUUAAAUGAGGCCCUUGCUUCAAGGGUCUAUCACAUGGCUGCAACCAAAGUCAACCAUGGUUGUGGUGCUAUCUCAAGACUCCAGAAGCUCAUUUACAGGUCUCUUGGCAGAGUUUGAUUCUUGCUGGCUGGUGACCAGAGACUCUCUGGAGUUCUUUACUAUGUGUUGCCCUCCUAAGGCAGUAUAUAGCUUCCUCAGAACCAGUGGAGAUAUGGUGUUGACUGGCAAGACAGAAAGGCCAUUGAAGUGAAUUCUGAUCACUAUGGCCCCAUUCUGUUGGUCAGAAUUCACAAGCUAGCCUACCCUUCUCAGGUUGGCAGGGGUGGGUUGUUGGAGAGUAGGAGUGCAUGGGAGGAUGGGCAUUUAUACAAGAAAGAGAACACUAGGAAAUCAAGCUGUGGGGAUUCCAUCUUUGAUUUUGGUUUGCCUCUAAUUUGUAGGCUAGACCUCCAGUCAAAGUUAGAGCUAUUGUUAUGCUGAAUGGAGGAAUGCUUAGCCAGAGGAGAAAUGUUGAGCCAGAGGCAGAAUGUACGGUGGGUGGAAGAGUAAAUAAGGUUAAAUAAAUAACUAAGAGUAAAUAAGAGUAAAUAAUUUGGACAAGUCAAAUCGCCUCCUGCCUCUGAGACACCAUUUUGUCCUCAGCAAAAUGUAAAUAGUUGGUCACAGGGGGACAAAUGAGGCAAAAAAAAGUGCAAGCUUCAGUUUGUUUUCUGAGGGAGAAAACAUAGCUCUCUCCAGCUUGCAGGGACAAACUGCUCUGGGCCUUUUCUGUUGUGUUGAUUAGGAGUCUGUCAGUCUGGUAUCUUCAAGGAUUUUAGUAUUUGGCCCCUUGGAGACAAUUUUAAAGAAAUAUAUGAAAUAAUAUAUAAAUAAUUAAGAAUUACAUGGCUGGGAAAAACACAACGAGAAAGCUGGUUUUGGGAGUCCUUUAAAGUAUGUCUAAGGCUUUUUUAAAAACUACCUUUGCUUCUAAGGAUCCCGUGGCGGGUGGGCCUAGCUGAGAGAAAAUUGGCUAUACGUGGGAAAUUUCACGCUCCUGAUAUUAAAAUGGUAAUAAAAUCUCAUCCGGCUCCCAAGGCUUAGAGCAGAGGGGAUGUUGUUUAUGGUGGAGGGGGUUCCCCAACACAGGUGCACCUCACAGGUUGUGAGGUUUCCAGCCCUACAGGGCAGCUGGGGUUAUGGACUCUGCUAGGGCAGUUCCUUCACUUUGGGAGAAAACACUCAGUUGUCCCGCCCUGGCGCCAGGCAGCUUCACUCCAGGCUUCAAUUGAAUGGUGUCACACAAAGUGGGAUUCACAGUCUGCGCUGGGGUGGUUUGCCCCAGGGAAGGUAAACAGCUGGGGAGGACAUUUCAGAGGGUGGCAGUGUCCUCCCAAAGGUUAGCCAGGGAUUGGGGAUAGGACUUGGGGGUCAGCCUUUCACAAAGGCAUGCUUCUCAGCAGGAAAUGCGGGUGGGGCGGAGCAGUCCCCGGAUAGAGACAAAGAUUCUUUGAAUCUUUAUCCGAUGGCCUGGCCUCUUGCGAGAGGGGUACCUGGGACGCCAGGGCAGGGAGAAAACUCCAGUGUGUAAUCUCAUUACCCUCCCUCGCUCUGCCAACCUAGAGCGCACAGUCGCUUAGAACCUACAGCUGCCCGCGCACUGAGUGUCCCUCCAGCCCAGGAGAUCACCUCCUGCAGCGUCAUUACCCAUACUGGAGAGUCGUGGGUAGCCCAGGAGUACUUGGGACAGCCCAGACCAGAUCCGGCCAACAGUCUCACCUUCCCAGGCUGGCUGCUCUACCAAACUACAGCAGUCUUAGGAAACCUAAUGAGAACCAGUUGUAGUAGCCGCUGGCAUACAUUCUCAGAGUCGCUGAUUGGUCAGUGGCUGAGAGCUGUAGCCAAUCAGCGCGGUUUUGGGGUCCGCAUUGCGGACCAAAGGUCCGAGUGGGCAUCUGCAGGCACAGUGGCCUGCAGAGACUCGAGGUGUGGAGGGCAGAGCCAGGGAGGAAUGAGCAUGUCUUGGGACCCCACAGCCAGGCGCCAUCACCGCCUAUCGCUGCUCCUGGUGCUCGUGCUGCUGUCACGAGCCGGGGCUCUGCGUCCUGUGGAGCUCUUUCCUUACGGGGACUUGUGGGGAGAUCUGCUGCCACAGGAGGGCGACUUUGAAAGCUCCCCGGCUGUGAAGCUAGCAGUACCUCUAUGCUUCUACGGUGUCCAGUUCAGCAACCUCUAUGUGGGCACCAAUGGCAUCAUCUCCACCCAGGACUUACCCAGGGAGACUUAAUAUGUCAUUGAUGAUUUACCUACUGACUUCCCAGCCAUUGCCCCAUUCCUGGCUGACAUCCACUCUAGUCACAGCAGUGGCUGGAUCCUGUAUGGAGGACACUUCCUGGGCUGUGCUGAGUCUGGCUGCUUGCUACCUGUGCACAGGCUUCCCGCUGACCGGGUCCAGUUUCCCCACUACCCACUUCUUCCUGGCCACCUGGGAGCAAGUGGGCGCCUAGGAGGAGGACAAGCUUGGGGCUGCAUGGUCUGGAGAGUGAGCUGCAUAGUUCUCCUAAGCAAGGAGAUGGUCUUCAUCCUCCUUACCACUUCCACCCUUGCCUACCCCAGGGACUUUCUGACAAGAGAUGAAAUUGCUUCUUGUGGCUAUGAAGGUCCAUUAAUGAACAUAAGAGGAAGGACCAUGGAAAGGAGUAUAUCUCUUACAUAUUCACAGAAGAUUAUGCUAAGCAGGAAUACUGCAUAUAAGACCUAAAUUUCAUUGGAAGAACCUGACUGAGGAAGUGAAAAGGAAAGGAUGGGAAAUAGGAAAACAUUUGAAAAUAAGGCUGUUGACAGGCUGGAGAGGAAGGAGGAGAUUGAAAAUUUAAAUUGUGCUACCUGAAACAAUGUAUUUUCAUGGAUACAAAUAUGUCUUUGCCUAUUUAAAAAAGUACUAGUUACUAUGAGGUAGGAUUUAUCCAUGUCAGUUAUGGUACAAUAUGCUUUAGGAAUUUAAUUCCUGGGGACUUAAAUUGAAAGUUAGUGGUAUGGUUAUUUAAAAACUCAUUAAAAACAAUUUAAAGAGAUAAUUUCACAGUGUAAUUGUGUACUUUUCUCCAUUUCCAUUGCUUAUAUAGAUACGUAUUACUUCUUACCAUCUUUUAAAUGAUGUUUAGUUACUUACAAUAGUUUUUCUUUAUGUGAGCAUAGUUAUAAAUACAUAUGAUAAUAUAAAAUAAUACAAAGAAUAAUGUAUUCUACCUUACUUAUCUGUUUGUAAAUACUCAUUUGUGUUUGUGUGUGUGUGUGAAUAUAUGUGUGUGUGUAUGUGUGUGUAUGUAUAUAUGUGUAUAUAUGUGUAUAUAUAUGUAUAUAUAUGUAUAUGUAUGUGUAUAUAUGUAUACUAGAUAAGAUCGAUGAUGUUAUAAAAUGCAUCUUGAAAGGAACCGGAUAUAGAUCUCUCCUGAAAGACACAUCCAGAGCAUGUCCAAUACAGAAGUCAAUGCUAUCAGCAAACCACUGAUCUGAGAGCAACACCCUUGGAGGGAAUUAGAUGAAAUAUUGAAACAGUUGAAGGAGGAUGCAACCCAAUCAAAACAACAAUGCCAACCAAACAGAGCUUCCAGGGCCUAAACCAGUUCCGAAAGACUAUACUAUACUCUAUCAAUCCCACAUAAUCUGUGCAUUUUCCAUGUCUCUACUGGUCAGAUAUAGCUUCUUAAAAACAGUUUUGUAAGCAGGACCUACCUCUCUCUACAACUGACACAGACUUGCUCAGUGUGACUGGGUACUUCUCUACAGAUAUGAUUAUAAGUCUCAAAUUCCCAGGAUUUAUGGUAACAUCAGGAGGAUUGAUAGACACAAAAAGAGGUGGCGAACAUUUUAUCCCUUGAAAGAGUUUUCAGAAAAAUGUAGAAUCAUCCACAGUGUAAGUCAGUGUGACUCCAGAUGGCCUUGUCCAUGACUGAUGAAGUGAUACAAUUUUGAUAAUGACUAUAUGCAGUACAAUGAAGAAAUGGAGAGCUUGUAGGGCAUGCAAACUUGGUACUAAAUAUAAAGGCCACCAAAUUUACCUUAUCAACUGAGAAGUGGUUUCCAUGGAAUUGCCACAGUAGAAUACUGUCACUGAAGCACUCAUAUGCUAUUCCUUGCAGCAGCUACAUGGCCACUGCCAGAAAGAGGUAGCAACUCUGCUAAAUUAUUUCUGAUACAUGCAUGAGGAUCUGAGUGCAGUCUCCAGAGAACAUGUAAAAAGUCAUGGGACUGUGUUCCAAGCUAAUCAUCCUGGUGCCUGUGAAAUGGAGAAGAAAGAAACCCUGUGGCUUGACAGAGCCCCAGUCUAGCUAUAUUGGUAAUCCCAUGGUCAGCUUGAGACCAUGUCAGAAAAUCAAUACAGUAGAGAGUGACUGAGAAUGAUAUCCAUUGACCUUUGACCUCCUUAUUCACACCUGUGGACAUGCACCUGCAGACAUAUGUACCCCCACAUAAACAUGUACAUACAAAGUACUGCGACCUUAUAAGCAGACUCAAGCCUCUUUAGAAAGUUUCAUGUCAUUUUUAACCCUGCAACAUCUCUCAUACAGCACACUGUUCCUUAUUGUUUGCACUUUAUCUUUUUUUAGUUUUAGAUAUAUUAUGCCCAUUGUCUAUCAUAAUGAAUUUCAUCUUUAAAAAUAACCUCAGAAUCAUUAUAUUCAUUCAGCCUCCUUGUCUUUAGGCAACAGAAAUCAUUUUUUAACUUAUUUUUACAGGAGACUGGAGAGAUGACGGAGAAGGAUCUGGCAAUGGAAGUGAACAAGGAUGGAAAGACUCAGAAAUCUGACGAUUGCUUUGGCUUUGACACCAGACAUGGAGAUGCAGAUUUUGGAGUUUGCUCAGGUUAAUUUUCAUCUUGUUUAAUCCAGUGUUUUCUUACCAUGACAUUUUGGAAUGAUAAUGUAUAUCCUGCAUGAUAUUGGGGGUAUGUUGUCUUCUUUAUGUUUUUGAUUUUUAAGGGAUUACAGUUUAGAGAUUACCUAAUCUCAGAAGAAACAUUGAACUUUGAACUCCUAACAUUGGAGAAACUCUUAUAGACUAUGGGAACUGUAAAGUUGGAAUAAUGUAUUUUGCAUUGUGCUGUGCCUAGUUAUGUCCUCUCUAGAGUCAUGUAUUUGAACUGUCCUAUUGUAACCAGGGAGUAGAAUGUGGUUUGAAUAUAUUUGGCAAAUUGGAAGUGGUACUAUCAUGAGAUGUGGCCUUGUUUGAGGAAAUGUGUCACUGUGGGCAUGGGCUUUGAGACACUCUCUCUAGCCAGGUAGGAACCAGUCAUCUCCUGCUUGCCUUUGAAAUAAGAUAUCACAAUUUCAACUCCUCCAGGACCAUGAUUUCUGCUUUGAUGAUAAUGGAUUGAACCCCUGAACCUGUAAAGCAAGCCCCAACUAAAUGCUGUCCUUUAAAAUAUUCACCUAGGUCAUAGUGUCUCUUCACAGUAAUGAAAAUCCUAACUAAGACAAUGGUGUAGUAAGUGCUGCUUUCACAAAGAUUAGUUCUCAAAAUGGAGGAACAUGUCCCAUUGGAGGCCUUCAGAGGUUUGUAGUUGAAGACAUUGGAACUACUCAUGCGUUUGUUGAGCAGAAACGGAUUGGAAAAAAAAAAACAUGACACAUACUGCUAUCCCUGGAAUUUCAAAACUCUCUCACACAUGUGACUUCAUAUGAUUGAAGCUAAGAUGGAUAUUGGCAUUUCACUAACUUCAGUACUAAGUAUAGGGUCUGAAACAGACCUGAAGAAGACCCUUUUAAUAUCUUGUUUUACAGGGAACAUGUACAAAAUAUUAAAAAGUACCCAAGAGUCAAGUAUGGAGAAAGUCUGGUAACAAGAGAUCCAGGAGACAUGGGCUAAAUGUUUCUUUAACUCUUUAUCUCUUCAUAAAAACAGUUCACUAUGAGCUGUUGGCUCUUGGAGAAGACUGGUGAGGAGUGUCAGCAAAACUGACUCUAUUGGAUGCUUUACCAUAGAACAUGGGGCCUUCAGUUCAAUAAAUGAUUCAUGCCAUUGAUGUAGUUCUCUGUGUUUUCCUUUACACAAAAGAUAUAUUAAUAAAAUACAUGAUUUAGGCAUGGAAUAGUAGUUCAGGAUGGAAAAGUUCUUGCUGUGUCAGCAAAAGGAUCUGAUUUAAUCCCUAGCAACAAUAUAAAAAGCCAAGCAUGAGAGUUGGGGCACAGACAAAAGAGGAUCACUGGCCUUGCUAACUCCCAGCUUAGCUCCAAGUUCAAUGAGUGACAUUGUCUCAAGGAAAUAAGGUGGCAAGUAACACAGCUGGAUGCAUGAUGUCAACAUCUGUGUACCAUGUAAACCUGGGUCCAAAGGCAUAGUAUAUGCAGAUUCUGAAAAAAGGCAAAAUUGGAAAUUUGUUAUUUCUACAAAACUAUCACUUGAGGCACUCUGCGGAAAAAAAUUCAUCAUGGAAAAUAGUUGUUAAUGAAUAAAAUGAGUCUCUGGGCUCAUAUUUCCAAUUACAGCAGUAGAAUGGUUGAGGGGACAAAGCUCCAGAAAGAGACAUUUGGGAGCACUCCCCAAUCAAAUAGGAGCCUGAGAAACAAGGCUACAGAUCUGCUCCAGACAGCCAUUUAUGCCUAUUAACUCAGACUAUGAAUAUUAAUAUAUUCUGGAAGAGAAAGCCAGGGACCCACUCUUUUAUCUUGCUGUGCAGAAACUGAAUAUUGAAUGACCUUGAAUAAAUGGAGUGUUAUUGAUGCCAUUUUUGUCUCAAAAGAAGGAAAACCAGGGAGCCAUCCCUAAUCUCUCUUUUUUGUUUGGUUUGAGUUUUAGUCUUAAAGAAACCUAAGCAAAAACUCAAAGUACCAGGCUAUAAAGACAAGUGUAAUUUUAGAUAGUGUGGCCUGUGAAGAGCUCAUAUUUUCUCUAUCUGUUAGCAAGACUAGACUCUCUGAACUCGACAAAGAAGGAGCAUAUUCCCUUUCACUACCAAUUGAAGAUGAUUUAAGAAUGAGAAGACCCCACCCGAAGGUUUGUGCUCUCUAAGGAAAAUUAGGCACAUAAUGAGAAAAGACUGCCAGGAUUCAUUAGUGGUGCAGUUCCACAUUUUAUUAAGUGCUGUGAGCCUGGUUUAUUUCAUGAAAAGGUCUGAGUGCAUGAAGGACAAGAUAUUAAAGACAAUAAAGAAAAGCAGUUUCACUACAUAAAGGUGCUGUGUGUCUAAAGCAUACAAACUCCGCAGCAAUCACAAUCAUGAGGUUAGAAAAUGGCUAACACCAUCUUUAGUAUUUGUUGUUUUAUAUUUUGUUUUAAUGAUUUUUUUCUUCAUUUGGAGAUGUUUUAAAGCAUCUUAUUAUUAAUAAGCUUAUUCUUUGACAAUUAUUUACAUAAACAUAAUGCUCUUUGAUUACCCUCUCUCUUCCUGUGAGACUAAAACAGGAACAAUAUACAUUACAAGUUAAUGAGAAAACAAAACAAUAAAAAUAUACCUUGCAGGUUGAGGAUUUUUUUUGUAGUGAAGAUUAAGUUCCAGUUUUUACAAUGUUAAAUCUGUGAAAUACUUACAGAAUAAGUUUGUUUGUCCUGUAUUAAGUCUUUGCAAGUUAAGAUUUCUAUUUGUAAUUAAGAAUACAUUUAUUUCUAUUCUGACGUAAAAUGCAAAAUCUGUUUUGAGGUAUUUACUCAUUUACUUAUUUAUUUAUUUGUAUUUUUUUUCAAGACUGGGUAUAACUAGCUCCAGCUGCCCUGGAAAUAGCCCUGUAUUUUUAAUUGAUAAUCUUAUAGCAUAGAGUAUUGCUGUUCUCUUCAGAAUGUUGUCUCAUAUGCCAAAGUGUUUAAGGCUAUUUUCUAAUUUCUCCUCUAUCAAGUUCAGUGUUUCUGGUUUUAUGGUAAGGUCAUUGAUCUACUUGUACUUGAGAUUUGAGCAUGAUAAUAAAUAGGGCAUCAUUUGCAUUCUUCCACCUGGAGACACCCACUUUGACAAAAUCUAUUUUUUGAAGUUUUUCUUUACAGAUGAUAAUUUCUGGCUUCCCUGUCCUUAGGUGUGAAUUUAUCUCUGGGCCUACAAUUCAAUUCUGUUUGUUGUUGUAUCUGUUUUUAUGCAAAUACCUUGUGGGUUUUAUCACUGUAGCUUUAAAGUAUGACUUGAAAAUCAGUGAAAGUAAUACCUCCAACAUUUUUUGUUGUUCUUUUUGUUGUUCUUUUUUGUUUUGUUUUUCAUAUUCAGUAUUGUUCUAGAUAUCCUGGGUUCUUGGAUUUUGGUUUUCUCUAUGAAGUUGAGAAUUGCCAUUUCCUGGUCUGUAAAGAAUUGUGUUGGAAUUCUGAUGGGGAUUGCAUUCAGUCGGUAGACUUUUUUGAUAAAAACGACCAUUUUUACUGUUAAUCCUACCAAUCCCUGAGGAUCGAGAUCUUUUCAUUUUCUGGUAUCUUCUUCAAUUUUUCCUUCAAAUAUUAUAAGCUUAUAAGCAUAGAAAUCUUUCAUUGACUUGGAUAGACAUUAUCUAUAUCUUGAGGCUCAUGUGAAGAGUGAUUGUUUCCUCAUUUUCUUCCUCAGUCUGUUUAUCAUUUCUAUAUAGAAAGGCUACUGAGUACUUACUGUUAAUCUUGUAUGCAACUACUGUGCUAAAAGUGUUUAUCAACUCUGGGAGAUACCUAGAAUAAUUUUUAAUGUCACUAAUGUACUCUUAUUUCAUCCAAAGUUAAUGAUACUUUCAAUUCUUCCUUUCCAAUUUGUGUCCCCUUGAUCUCAUUUGGCUGUCUUAUUGCUAUAGAUAAAACUUCAAGUGCUAUGUUGAAUAGUAUGAACAGAGUAGAAUGUCUUGUUCCUUAUUUUAGUGGAAUUAGUUUCCAUUUCUAUCCAUUCAAUUUGGUGUUAGCUAUCGACUUGAAGUAAAUCGAGAUAUGUUCCUUUUCCACGAAUCUUGUGAAUAGUUUUACCAUGAACGGGUGGUGGAAUUUAUUAAAGACUUUUCACAUAUCACUAUCUGCAGAUGAUAUGAUAGCAUAUUUAAGUGAUCCCUAAAGCUCCACCAGGGAACUACUAAACCUGAUAAACACCUUCAGCAAAGUGGCUGGGUAUAAAAUUAACUCAAAUAAAUCAGUAGCCUUCCUCUACACAAAAGAGAAACAAGUCUAGAAAGAAAUUAGGGAAACGACACCCUUCAUAAUAGUCCCAAAUAGUAUAAAGUACCUCAGUGUGACUUUAACCAAGCAAGUGAAAGAUCUGUAUGAUAAGAACUUCAAGCCUCUGAAGAAAGAAUUUGAAGAAGAUCUCAGGAGAUGGAAAGAUCUCCCAUGUUCAAGGAUUGGCAGUAUUAAUGUAUUAAAAAUGGCCAUUUUACCAAAAGCGAUCUACAGAUUCAAUACAAUCCCCAUCAAAAUACCAAUCCAAUUCUUCAGAGGGUUAGACAGAACAAUUUGCAAAUUCAUCUGGAAUAACAAAAAACCCAAGAUAGCUAAAACUAUCCUCAACAAUAAAAGGACUUCUGAGGGAAUCACUAUCCCUGAAGUCAAGCAGUAUUGCAGAGCAAUAGUGAUAAAAACUGCAUGAUAUCAGUACAGAGACAGACGGAUAGACCAGUGGAAUACAAUCGACGACCUAGAAAUGAAUUCACAUACCUAUGGUUGAUUUUUGACAAAGGAGCCUAAGUCAUGCAAUGGAAAAAAGAGCAUUUUCAGCAAAUGGUGCUGGUUCAACUGGAGGUCAACAUGUAGAAGAAUGCAGAUCGAUCCAUGCUUAUCACCCUGUACAAAGCUUAAGUCCAAGUGGAUCAAGGACCUCCACAUCAAACCAGACACACUCAAACUAAUGCAUCAUUAAGAAAAUAUUUGCAAAUAUUAGAAACAAAGAAGAUAUAAUUAAAUAACUGAGUAGCAGUGAACUUCAGGUGCUCAAGAUACAGACAUAUAAGAAUAAAAGAGAGGAAUCAUAUAUAGCAACUCUGAAUUUGGGAGAACACUAAGUAUACCAGUUAACUUUUCCAAUUUUUGUGACAAAACAUAUAACAGAAGCAACUAAAGAAAGUAUUGUUUAUUUUGAUUCACAUUUUGAUGAUCCAGUGCAUCUCCUCAGGGAUAUCUGUCACAGUUGCCCACACAUGAUGCUGCUAUGUUACUCUGCAUCCAUGGUCAGGAAGCAGAGAGAUGAAUGCUGGUCCUUAGCCCACUUUCUCAUUUUCACUUACAUGAGAUGUCAGUCCAGGAAUUGUCUUUUCAAAAUUCAGGUUGGGUGUUCCUUGCUCACCCAACCAUCCUCACAAACCAAGGUGUGCAACCACCAUGAUCUGUACCUCAUUAAGUUUUCACUGGAGAUUAAGCAUCACAGAAAGAAAGAUUUAAUCAAACCACUGCAGUACCCAAUGAGGGCAUGAGAAACUGUAAAGUCAUAUACUCUAACAUUUAUCCUAUUAAGGCAAAAAAUUAAGACAUGUUAACAAUAUACUAAAAUUUUAUUUUUGUUCUUUUAUUCUACAUCUCAUCAACUUCUUUCUCUUCCCUACAUAGCACUUUCUCCUUGUCCCUUUCCUAGAUACCUUAUGAUAAAUGUGAUAAAAGUAUCCUGAACAAAUAGCUUAGGGGAGAAAAAGUUCAUUUUGUCCAUUAUUUCAGAAAGAUAUGAUAUAUCAAACUGGGAACUGCCUGGCAGCAGACAUAGAAGAGAAUUCAGCAAGAGUAAGAAGUAGUUGGUCACAAUGUAUCUAUAUUCAGGAAUCCAAGAACAAAAAAUGAAAAUUAAGCCUGAUUACAAAGCCUCGAGGCCCUUUCCUAGUGACCCACUUCCAACAAUGCUCCACCUCCUAGAAAUUCCACAAGCAUCCGUAUAGCAUCAGUAGUUGUGGUCCAUAUGUUCAAAUAGGUAAGUCUAUGAGGGAGUUACCAUUUAAACCACACAACCUGUUUGCUCCUUUUCCACUCUAGAGCUGAUAGGGCCUUUAUGAGUUCAACCCUGCCAAUUGUCAAUGCUCUCUCUCACUGGUUCAUCCACUCAUCCUGUCAAGUCACACUCCUUUUCACUUCCCAAUGAACUUUUGAAUCUCUGAUAAUUAUUUCAAAGCAAACAAAAGGCCACACAAAAUGAACCAUUUCUUUUUGUCUUUUUAAUUUCCUAAAUGACUUGUUUCAUACUAUUAACACACUUUAGACAUAUCCUCCCUUCUGUAGAUAUCUGUAUGUCCCAGCUCAAGUAAGUGUUCCUUCCUACUGUCCAUAGUCAAAUGCUCUGUUCUAUUUUGCAACACAUGUGUUGGAUUAAGUGGAUAUACGUGUAAUAAUUAUGAAGAAUCUUGCUACUGUGCUCUUAAAAUAUUGCUUGACUUUUAUCAUUGUGUCCAGUUCAGUUCCCUCUGUAUACUCUUGUAUCUUCGGUUCUCCAAAGUACAAAAGUGGAACAUCCUCUCUCAAGUUGGCAGACAUUUUCUUAUCAUCUCCAUUACACUUUUUCUGUAGCUUUAUCCAUCAACUUG